rnacentral:rRNA from 1 species
CCUACGGGUGGCAGCAGUGAGGAAUAUUGGUCAAUGGCCGGAAGGCUGAACCAGCCAUGCCGCGUGAAGGUAAGAGCCCUAUGGGCGUUAAACCUCUUUUGUGCGGGAGCAAUAAUGGUCACGUGUGGCCAGACGAGAGUACCGUACGAAUAAGCAUCGGCUAACACCGUGCCAGCAGCCGCGGUAAUACGGGGGGUGCAAGCGUUAUCCGGAAUUUUUGGGUUUAAAGGGUGCGUAGGGGGGGAGGUAAGUGAGCGGUGAAAUGCCUCCGGUCAAAGGGGUGAAGUGCGAUUGAUACUGCUUUGCUGGAAUGCGGAUGCGGUGGGAGGAAUGUGUGGUGUAGCGGUGAAAUGCAUAGAUAUCACGCAGAACACCGAUUGCGAAGGCAUCUCGCGGAUCCGCAAUUGACGCUGAGGCACGAAAGCGUGGGUAUCAAACAGGAUUAGAUACCCUUGUAGUC